GCGCCAUUAGCACAACGGUUAGUGCGCGCGCCUUAUAAGCGCGUGACGCGGUUUCGACUACCGCAUGGCGUA
rnacentral:tRNA from 1 species